rnacentral:rRNA from 1 species
GACGAACGCUGGCGGCGUGCCUAAUACAUGCAAGUUGAGCGCUGAAGGUUGGUACUUGUACCAACUGGAUGAGCAGCGAACGGGUGAGUAACGCGUGGGGAAUCUGCCUUUGAGCGGGGGACAACAUUUGGAAACGAAUGCUAAUACCGCAUAAAAACUUUAAACACAAGUUUUAAGUUUGAAAGAUGCAAUUGCAUCACUCAAAGAUGAUCCCGCGUUGUAUUAGCUAGUUGGUGAGGUAAAGGCUCACCAAGGCGAUGAUACAUAGCCGACCUGAGAGGGUGAUCGGCCACAUUGGGACUGAGACACGGCCCAAACUCCUACGGGAGGCAGCAGUAGGGAAUCUUCGGCAAUGGACGAAAGUCUGACCGAGCAACGCCGCGUGAGUGAAGAAGGUUUUCGGAUCGUAAAACUCUGUUGGUAGAGAAGAACGGUGGUGAGAGUGGAAAGCUCAUCAAGUGACGGUAACUACCCAGAAAGGGACGGCUAACUACGUGC